UAUGCUCUAGUGUAGGGUGCACAAAAGUUUUUGAUACUUUAGGAGAUAGUUCAAGUCUAUUGGGCAUAA
rnacentral:tRNA from 1 species